rnacentral:rRNA from 1 species
UACGUAGGGUGCUAGCGUUGUUCGGAAUCAUUGGGCGUAAAGCGCGUGUAGGUGGUUAAUAAAGUUGGAUGUGAAAUCCCUGGGCUCAACCGAGGAAGUGCAUUCAAAACUAAUUAGCUUGAGAGUGGUAGAGGAAGGUGGAAUUCCUAGUGUAGAGGUGAAAUUCGUAGAUAUUAGGAGGAAUACCGGAGGCGAAGGCGGCCUUCUGGGCCAUUUCUGACACUGAGACGCGAAAGCGUGGGUAGCAAACAGG